CAUCAGCAGCACGAGCUGGGUAGCUAUAUAAGGAAAGUGAGAAAACAGCUUUUGGGUGGUGCAGUGAAACCACUUAUGUGGCCAAAAAAACCACUAGUGGUUUUCCCUGAUGCUACACGUGGCCCAAUCAGAUUCUCGUGUUUUAUAUGUUCCUCGAAAGAUGUGCCAGCCACCGUUGCUACGCUGACGCGUGGCGCUACGAAUACGCAUGCCGUAGAUCGUGCAGGAGUUGCUUUUUUUGGAGAAUGGCGCUUCUGUCAAAUAAUCGCUAGGAGUCGUUGUACAAUGCUACAGUUUAA
rnacentral:lncRNA from 1 species